UACGUAGGGGGCGAGCGUUGUUCGGAAUCACUGGGCGUAAAGGGCUCGUAGGCGGCCAACUAAGUCAGACGUGAAAUCCCUCGGCUUAACCGGGGAACUGCGUCUGAUACUGGAUGGCUUGAGGUUGGGAGAGGGAUGCGGAAUUCCAGGUGUAGCGGUGAAAUGCGUAGAUAUCUGGAGGAACACCGGUGGCGAAGGCGGCAUCCUGGACCAAUUCUGACGCUGAGGAGCGAAAGCCAGGGGAGCAAACGGG
rnacentral:rRNA from 1 species